ACCAAUUCAAAGCAUGGCAAGCCAAAUUCCUGGCUGCUGGCCGUCAGUGAGAUGGAGCUAUCAGCUGGAGACUGGAGAAGAGAGAGAACAUGACGUCUUGCGCAUUGCCUCUCAGGAUUGGUAUGACAUGGCAAAAACACCGGGAGCCACAUAUCAUGUGUGCCCAUUGAAGAAGGGAAAAGGUUCAGUGACUGAACCACUUUGACCCCUGCCACCUUGAACAAAGGCUCCAUCAGCUUCCUGAGCCGUGCUACAACAGCCCGGAGAGGUGGCCAUGAGGAGGUGCCCUCCAGGGAGCUCUCCGAGGCAACCGUGAG